UACGGGGGGAGCAAGCGUUGUUCGGAUUUACUGGGCGUAAAGGGCGCGUAGGCGGCGCAACAAGUCACUUGUGAAAUCUCCGGGCUUAACCCGGAGCGGCCAAGUGAUACUGUCGUGCUAGAGUGCGGAAGGGGCUACUGGAAUUCUCGGUGUAGCGGUGAAAUGCGUAGAUAUCGAGAGGAACACCUGCGGCGAAGGCGGCAUCCUGGACCAACACUGACGCUGAGGAGCGAAAGCCAGGGGAGCAAACGGG
rnacentral:rRNA from 1 species